rnacentral:rRNA from 1 species
CCUACGGGUGGCAGCAGUGGGGAAUAUUGCACAAUGGGGGAAACCCUGAUGCAGCAACGCCGCGUGAAGGAAGACGGUUUUCGGAUUGUAAACUUCUGUUCUUAGUGAAGAAUAAUGACGGUAGCUAAGGAGCAAGCCACGGCUAACUACGUGCCAGCAGCCGCGGUAAUACGUAGGUGGCAAGCGUUGUCCGGAAUUACUGGGUGUAAAGGGAGCGCAGGCGGGAAGCCAAGUCAGCUGUGAAAACUACGGGCUUAACUUGUAGACUGCAGUUGAAAUUGGUUUUCUUGAGUGAAGUAGAGGUUGGCGGAAUUCCGAGUGUAGCGGUGAAAUGCGUAGAUAUUAGGAAGAACACCAGUGGCGAAGGCGGAUUACUGGACGACAACUGACGGUGAGGCGCGAAAGCGUGGGGAGCAAACAGGAUUAGAUACCCCAGUAGUC